CCCUUAGAUGUUCUGGGCCGCACGCGCGCUACACUGAUGCAUUCCACGAGCCUAUCCUUGACCGACAGGUCCGGGUAAUCUUUGAAUCUGCAUCGUGACGGGGAUAGAUUAUUGCAAUUAUUAAUCUUCAACGAGGAAUGCCUAGUAGGCGCAAGUCAUCAGCUUGCGUCGAUUACGUCCCUGCCCUUUGUACACACCGCCCGUCGCUCCUACCGAUUGGGUGUGCUGGUGAAAUGUUCGGAUCGGCCGUUUGUCGCGGUUUCCGCGGCUCGUGGCUGAGAAGUUCAUUAAACCCUCCCACCUAGAGGAAGGAGAAGUCGUAACA
rnacentral:rRNA from 1 species